AUUGAACGCUGGCGGCAUGCUUUACACAUGCAAGUCGAACGGUAACAGGUUAAGCUGACGAGUGGCGAACGGGUGGGUAAUGCAUCGGAACGUGCCCGGUCGUGGGGGAUAACGCAGCGAAAGCUGCGCUAAUACCGCAUACGAUCUAAGGAUGAAAGCGGGGGACCGUAAGGCCUCGCGCGAUCGGAGCGGCCGAUGUCAGAUUAGGUAGUUGGUGGGGUAAAGGCUCACCAAGCCAACGAUCUGUAGCUGGUCUGAGAGGACGACCAGCCACACUGGGACGGAGACACGGCCCAGACUCCGACGGGAGGCAGCAGUGGGGAAUUUUGGACAAUGGGCGAAAGCCUGAUCCAGCAAUGCCGCGUGCAGGAAGAAGGCCUUCGGGUUGUAAACUGCUUUUGUACGGAGCGAAAAGGUCUCCUCUAAUACAGGGGGCUCAUGACGGUACCGUAAGAAUAAGCACCGGCUAACUACGUGCCAGCAGCCGCGGUAA
rnacentral:rRNA from 1 species